GCGCCCGUAGCUCAGAAGGAUAGAGCAGCGGUUUCCUAAACCGUUGGUCGGGGGUUCGAGUCCCUCCGGGCGCACCA
rnacentral:tRNA from 2 species